rnacentral:rRNA from 1 species
AUUGAACGAUGGCGGCAGGCCUAACACAUGCAAGUCGAACGAGUGGCGGACGGGUGAGUAAUGUCUGGGAAACUGCCCGAUGGAGGGGGAUAACUACUGGAAACGGUAGCUAAUACCGCAUACCAUCGGAUGUGCCCAGAUGGGUGUAGCUAGUAGGUGGGGUAACGGCUCACCUAGGCGACGAGCCCUAGCUGGUCUGAGAGGAUGAACAGCCACACUGGAACUGAGACACGUUCCAGACUCCUACGGGAGGCAGCAGUGGUGAAUAUUGCACAAGGGGGGCAAGCCUGAUGAAGCCAUGCCGCGUGUAAGAAGAAGGCCUUCGGGUUGUAAAGUACUUUCAGCGAGGAGGCGUUACUCGCAGAAGAAGCACCGGCUAACUCCGUGCCAGCAGCCGCGGUAAUUC